CCUACGGGAGGCAGCAGUAGGGAAUAUUGCUCAAUGGGGGAAACCCUGAAGCAGCAACGCCGCGUGGAGGAUGAAGGUUCUAGGAGUGUAAACUCCUUUUGUUAGAGAAGAUAAUGACUGUAUCUAACGAAUAAGCACCGGAUAACUCCGUGACAGAAGCCGCGGUAAUACGGAGGGUGCAAGCGUUACUCGGAAUCACUGGGCGUAAAGAGCGCGUAGGCGGGAUAGUAAGUCAGAUGUGAAAUCCUAUGGCUUAACCAUAGAACUGCAGUUGAAACUGUUAUUCUUGAGUAUGGGAGAGGUAGGUGGAAUUCGUGGUGUAGGGGUAAAAUCCGUAGAGAUCAAGAAGAAUACUGAUUGCGAAGGCGACCUGCUAGAACAUAACUGACGCUGAUGCGCGAAAGCGUGGGGAGCAAACAGGAGUAGAUACCCUUGUAGUC
rnacentral:rRNA from 1 species